GCUAACUACGUGCCAGCAGCCGCGGUAAGACGUAGGGGGCGAGCGUUGUCCGGAAUUACUGGGCGUAAAGAGCACGUAGGCGGGACCUUAAGUCAGGUGUGAAAGACCGGGGCCUAACCCCGGGGUGGCACUUGAAACUGGGGUUCUUGAGGGCAGGAGAGGACAGUAGAAUUCCUGGUGUAGCGGUGAAAUGCGUAGAAAUCAGGAGGAAUACCAGUGGCGAAGGCGACUGUCUGGACUGACCCUGACGCUGAGGUGCGAAAGCGUGGGUAGCAAACAGGAUUAGAUACCCUUGUAGUC
rnacentral:rRNA from 1 species